rnacentral:tRNA from 1 species
UGUCCCCUUCGUCUAGAGGACACCGCCCUUUCACGGCGGUAACAGGGGUUCGAAUCCCUAGGGGACGCC